rnacentral:rRNA from 1 species
GUGCCUACGGGGGGCAGCAGUAGGGAAUAUUGCUCAAUGGGGGAAACCCUGAAGCAGCAACGCCGCGUGGAGGAUGAAGGUUUUCGGGUUGUAAACUUCUUUUAAGAGGGAAGAGUAGAAGACGGUACCUCUUGAAUAAGCCACGGCUAACUACGUGCCAGCAGCCGCGGUAAUACGUAGGUGGCAAGCGUUGUCCGGAUUUACUGGGUGUAAAGGGCGUGUAGCCGGGCCGGCAAGUCAGAUGUGAAAUCCCAAGGCUCAACCUUGGAACUGCAUUUGAAACUGUUGGUCUUGAGUAUCGGAGG